rnacentral:misc_RNA from 1 species
UCCGGUUUGUCACCGGCAGUCUCGCAUGAGUCCCCAACUGAAUGCUGGCAACAUGCGACGGGGGUUGCGCUCGUUGCGGGACUUAACCCAACAUCUCACGACACGAGCUGACGACAGCCAUGCACCACCUGUGCACCUGCCCCGAAGGGCUGCCGUAUUUCUACGACAUUCAGGUGCAUGUCAAGCCCUGGUAAGGUGGGGAUGACGUUGAACGGUUGGUU